GACGUAGGGCGCAAGCGUUGUCCGGAAUUAUUGGGCGUAAAGAGCUCGUAGGCGGUGUGUCGCGUCGGCCGUGAAAACCUGGGGCUUAACUCUGGGCGUGCGGUCGAUACGGGCAUCACUAGAGUUCGGCAGGGGAGACUGGAAUUCCUGGUGUAGCGGUGAAAUGCGCAGAUAUCAGGAGGAACACCGGUGGCGAAGGCGGGUCUCUGGGCCGAUACUGACGCUGAGGCGCGACAGCGUGGGGAGCAAACAGG
rnacentral:rRNA from 1 species